rnacentral:rRNA from 1 species
AAGCGGUGGAGCAUGUGGCUUAAUUCGAGGCUACGCGCAAAACCUUAUCCCGGGCUUGACAUGCACGGAUUAGCCGGCGGAAACGUCGGCGAGGCCGCAAGGUACAACGUGCACAGGUGCUGCAUGGCUGUCGUCAGCUCGUGUCGCGAGAUGUUGGGUUCAGUCCCGUAACGAGCGAAACCCCUGUGACUAGUUGCCAGCACGUCGUGGUGGGCACUCUAGUCAGACCGCCGGCGUCAAGCCGGAGGAAGGCGGGGACG